rnacentral:rRNA from 1 species
GACGAACGCUGGCGGCGUGCUUAACACAUGCAAGUCGAACGGUGAAGGGGUCUGCUUUUGUGGGCCCUGGAUGAGUGGCGAACGGGUGAGUAACACGUGAGUAACCUGCCCCCUUCUUCUGGAUAACCGCAUGAAAGUGUGGCUAAUACGGGAUAUUCUGGGUCUGUCGCAUGAUGGGUCUGGGAAAGAUUGCGCCUUUGGGUGUUGUUGGUGGGGGAUGGGCUCGCGGCCUAUCAGCUUGUUGGUGGGGUGAUGGCCUACCAAGGCGGGGACGGGUAGCCGGCCUGAGAGGGUGGACGGUCACACUGGGACUGAGACACGGCCCAGACUCCUACGGGAGGCAGCAGUGGGGAAUAUUGCACAAUGGGCGCAAGCCUGAUGCAGCGACGCCGCGUGAGGGAUGGAGGCCUUCGGGUUGUAAACCUCUUUCGCCAGUGAAGCAGGCCUGCUCCGUGUGGGUGGGUUGACGGUAGCUGGAUAAGAAGCGCCGGCUAACUACGUG